UUAGCGCAGAUAUUACAAAAGCUUCAAAGUAUUACAUGGCUCUAAAAUCUUUUACUGAAAAGAACGCCUUCAUCAUAUCUGUCCCACAUUUUUCAUUAAAUGUUCGGCCCUGUUGAGUGAAACUAUGAACGUAAACUACACGAGUGUGAGGACCAGAGAUUAAGACAGAAAGGCCGCGGAACGCUCUAACGGAUGGAAGUAAGAACAACGCGACUUGAUGACUGGAUACAAUAAAAAAUAGGGAAAAGCAUUGUCCUUACACGAGAAUUGGAGACGACCACCACCGCAUAUCAAACAACGUAA